rnacentral:sRNA from 1 species
GCUGGGUGCAGGGGUGCACGCCUGUAAUCCCAGUGGCUUGGGAGGCUGAGGCAGGAGGAUCGCAAGUUCAAAGCCAGCCUCAGCAGCUCAGUGAAGCCCUAAGUAACUCAGUGAGACCCUGUCUCUA